rnacentral:lncRNA from 1 species
ACUCAUAGAUGAGGAGCCAUCAGAAGAGUCCAGCUAACACAGGUGGCAUGACUGAAAGCUGAAUUAUACUGAGGUACUCAGGAGUCAUCUACUGAGAACCUUCAAUGAAAAAGGCCUGAAAAGACCUGAAACAUCCUAAGAUCCCGUCUAAAAUCAAUGUAUUGUGAGAAGUAAAAUAUGUUUAUCGAAAAAAAAA